GAGAGUUUGAUUCUGGCUCAGAGCGAACGCUGGCGGCAGGCUUAACACAUGCAAGUCGAACGGGCACCUUCGGGUGUCAGUGGCAGACGGGUGAGUAACACGUGGGAACGUACCCUUCGGUUCGGAAUAACUCAGGGAAACUUGAGCUAAUACCGGAUACGCCCUUUUGGGGAAAGGUUUACUGCCGAAGGAUCGGCCCGCGUCUGAUUAGCUUGUUGGUGGGGUAACGGCCUACCAAGGCGACGAUCAGUAGCUGGUCUGAGAGGAUGAUCAGCCACACUGGGACUGAGACACGGCCCAGACUCCUACGGGAGGCAGCAGUGGGGAAUAUUGGACAAUGGGCGCAAGCCUGAUCCAGCCAUGCCGCGUGAGUGAUGAAGGCCUUAGGGUUGUAAAGCUCUUUUGUCCGGGACGAUAAUGACGGUACCGGAAGAAUAAGCCCCGGCUAACUUCGUGCCAGCAGCCGCGGUAAUACGAA
rnacentral:rRNA from 1 species